rnacentral:rRNA from 1 species
UGGGGAAUAUUGCACAAUGGGCGCAAGCCUGAUGCAGCCAUGCCGCGUGUGUGAAGAAGGCCUUCGGGUUGUAAAGCACUUUCAGCGAGGAGGAAGGUGGUGAGCUUAAUACGCUCAUCAAUUGACGUUACUCGCAGAAGAAGCACCGGCUAACUCCGUGCCAGCAGCCGCGGUAAUACGGAGGGUGCAAGCGUUAAUCGGAAUUACUGGGCGUAAAGCGCACGCAGGCGGUUUGUUAAGUCAGAUGUGAAAUCCCCGGGCUCAACCUGGGAACUGCAUUUGAAACUGGCAAGCUAGAGUCUCGUAGAGGGGGUAGAAUUCCAGGUGUAGCGGUGAAAUGCGUAGAGAUCUGGAGGAAUACCGGUGGCGAAGGCGGCCCCCUGGACGAAGACUGACGCUCAGGUGCGAAAGCGUGGGGCAGCAAACAGGAUUAGAUACCCUGGUAGUCCACGCUGUAAACGAUGUCGAUUUUGGA